GCCUGUGCUCCUGCAGAAGAUUUUUGCAUUAGGGACUCUCUCAGGACUGCACUCUCAUCAGGCAGCUGGGGGAAACGUGUCCCCAGACUGUAUUCCUCUCUGUGGAGGAAGAAUUUGGGGGUGGAUAAAGGAAUAAAGGCACUGUGGUGCCCGGAUGGUGUGAGGGGGCUGGUUUUGGGAUGCUGACCCCAAGAACAGAGAAUUUUCUGCAUUGCUCAUCGCAGUGCUGGCAGCUUGUUCUUGCAGGAGGUGCUGCUCAGCACUCAGGGACAGCAAAUCUGUCCCCAAAAGCUGGCACAGAGAGAGGGCACUUGGGCUGCUGCCCUGGUUUGGGGGCUGAAACACAGUACUUCUCCCAAGGGGCUUUGCAAAAAUGUCUCUGCACGUCCCUGGGGCAGGGGCUCAUGCUGCCCCAGCACAGCCCCUCACUCAGGCUUGUUUUGCCUCCAUCUCCUCCCA
rnacentral:lncRNA from 12 species